rnacentral:rRNA from 1 species
UACGAAGGGGGCUAGCGUUGUUCGGAAUUAUUGGGCGUAAAGAGCUUGUAGGCGGUUUGUCGCGUCUGCUGUGAAAUUUCGGGGCUCAACCCCGAACUUGCAGUGGGUACGGGCAGACUAGAGUGUGGUAGGGGAGACUGGAAUUCCUGGUGUAGCGGUGAAAUGCGCAGAUAUCAGGAAGAACACCCGUGGCGAAAGCGGCUCUCUGGAACGGUACUGACGCUGAGACGCGAAAGCGUGGGGAGCGAACAGG